ACUGUGCCCCUCAACUCUUUCUUGGGUAUUUGGAGGUAUUCAUGAUUUUUAUUUCUACUUUGUAUUAACUACUUUCACUCCCCUAGAGCAUCCUACCUCAGGACCUUUUUCUCCACCACUUGUUUUGUGCUCACUUUCAUUUUUUUAACAAAACCAAACUCUUGAUGAUUAUCAGCAUGGAUAACAUUUUAAGGUCACUUUCAGUCUCUGAACCACACUUAGGUCCUCAGUUUUUGUUCUAACAGAUAAGUAGGAAACUGGAAAACAUAUUCAUGUUUUGCAGCAGAUGAGGUACGAGGAAAAUAAGCUCCAAAAUCUUAUUGGAUUGAACAGUGGUGAGGCGUUAAGCCAUUUCCAUUUCAUCCACUUCCUUUUUAUGAAAGGGACUUGAUUGAAUAAAUAUUUUGAAACCUCA